rnacentral:rRNA from 1 species
UGAUUCGGGCUCCGGCCCGAUCCUCCCACCCUUUGUGUACCCACCUCUGUUGCUUUGGCGGGCCGCGGUCCUCCGCGGCCGCCCUCCGUCCGGGGGGUGGCCAGCGCCCGCCAGAGGACCAUCGAACUCCGGUCAGUGAACGUUGCCGUCUGAAAAACAAUCAAUAAACUAAAACUUUCAACAACGGAUCUCUUGGUUCUGGCAUCGAUGAAGAACGCAGCGAAAUGCGAUAAGUAAUGUGAAUUGCAGAAUUCAGUGAAUCAUCGAAUCUUUGAACGCACAUUGCGCCCCUCGGUAUUCCGAGGGGCAUGCCUGUUCGAGCGUCAUUACAACCCUCAAGCUCUGCUUGGUGUUGGGCACCGCCCUUCCGCGGGCGCGCCUCAAAGACCUCGGCGGUGGCGUCUUGCCUCGAGCGUAGUAGAAAACACCUCGCUUUGGAGCGCACGGCGCCGCCCGCCGGACGAACCUUUUGAACUUUCUCAAGGUUGACCUCGGAUCAGGUAGG